GGAGUUGUGCCUGAAGUAAAGGGUCACUUUGAUAGAGUGAAACAUAGAGGUUAAAGCCCUCUCAGCUCCU
rnacentral:tRNA from 1 species